rnacentral:rRNA from 1 species
UAUGAGUUGAUCCUGGCUCAGAUUGAACGCUCAGUCUGGGAAUGCCUUACACAUGCAAGUCGAACGGCAGCACGGACUUCGGUCUGGUGGCGAGUGGCGAACGGGUGAGUAAUGUAUCGGAACGUGCCCAGUAGCGGGGGAUAACUACGCGAAAGCGUAGCUAGUACCGCAUACGCCCUACGGGGGAAAGCAGGGGAUCGCAAGACCUUGCACUAUUGGAGCGGCCGAUAUCGGAUUAGCUAGUUGGUGGGGUAACGGCUCACCAAGGCGACGAUCCGUAGCUGGUUUGAGAGGACGACCAGCCACACUGGGACUGAGACACGGCCCAGACUCCUACGGGAGGCAGCAGUGGGGAAUUUUGGACAAUGGGGGAAACCCUGAUCCAGCCAUCCCGCGUGUGCGAUGAAGGCCUUCGGGUUGUAAAGCACUUUUGGCAGGA